GCUUCUCUCUUCAGAAUGAAACAUGGUAGCUAACAACUAGGCAUGUAAACCCGUAUGUAUGUUUAUAAUAUUUUGUUGGGUAGGCUACAUAUUUUUAUAGCAACUUGUUGAUAUGCUAACGAGAUGAAUUUGAUAGAAAGGAAUGCAACCAACACCUGGAAAUACACCGAAAGAUUCCCGAAUAUUCGAAGGGUAACAUAACAACAAGCAAAAAGGCUUGGUAGCCUAGAUAUUUCUUUGCGUUUGACUGAUUCAUAACUAUUUUAUCUUGUAAGAUGUGCGUAUAUGAUGUGGUCUACUGUAAAUGCAUGUCACCAUACUGUAGAUGUCUCUGAGUGUUCCAUGGGAAAGCCAACGACCCUGAUAUUGCCAGUCCUCUAGUUCAUGGAGUCCGCAGCCAAGCUUCUAUUUCUAAGGGUCAGGGUGUGAUCGACAGGGAGGACCUGCAGGACGUGUGUCGUCAGUUUAACCUGGACCUGAGUGGGCCGGUGCUGGAUGACUUGAUGGAGUACUGUGACGUGGACAAAGAUGGACUCAUCAACUUUCUGGAGUUCGCCAACUUCCUCAACUGGAAGGACAAAAUGUCCAUCAGUAAAGUGGAGCAGUGCAUUCUGACUAGUGGAUACCUCAGAGCGUAAGACCAGCACAACCCCAGAUAACAUGCAGAGAGAGGCUCUCCCUGUGAGACCUGCAGCCUCGGAGGCUUUGGCCAGACAGGAGGACCUGGAGCCUGCAGAAGUGGGCAGCAUGCUGAAGACCCCCAAGACCCUGAGCAGACCCAGGACCGUCCAGGACCGCUUCGUCACCUCCUCCUCUCUCAUCCGGGCUGUCGUGGGUGGUCUCCCUACAACCAGUCAGUUGUGGUUGUGUUGUGAUUGUGUUGUCUUGUAACACUUCACUGCCCAGGUUUACCUCAGACUAAAUAGAUAUUUAGGUAAAAGAUGCAUGAAGAAUUUGAUAUAAUUCCCACACUUCUCAAAAAAAAUUCAGGGAGGGAAAAUCCUCAGAGAUUCAGGAACACGAUUUCUUACAUUUGUAUCUUUGCAUUACAAUGGACUGGUAGUCAUUUCCCCCCUGCUUCUCUACAUUGUGUGAAUCACAUUCUCACUGUAUAAUUAUCACAUCUUUGCACGUAGACUAUCGUAUGUACGGGACCCCCACAGUGCGCACCGACCUGGCGGCCCCGCGGAUCAAGCGCGUCAGCGACAGCAGUAACUGUCGUGACCAGACCACAGCCUUUGACCUCCUGUAUCCCACGCUGCACUCCCUAAGCGGAGUCCACAAGGAGCACUUCUUCUGCCCCCGCACCAAAGAGGAGUUACAGAAUACCAAUGAACCCACUGAAGAAUCAAGGGAGAGAAAGAAAUAUAUGGUCUAGUAGAUUUAGCACUGAGACAUACAGUACCAUGUGGAGGGUUUGUGGGAUUUUGUUACAACAUUCAAAAUGUAGGAAAAACGUUGUUUCAAAAAUAUAAUUGGUAUGAACAAUUCUGCCAUUGGAGAAGUGAUUGACACAAAAUGUUAUUGAAAUAGGACGGAGCAUAAACAAAUAAUUUGUCAAAGAGAUCUUCUGAUUCUUAUUUCCGCCUCCAUUUCCUUUUCAGAUCGCUGAAAUAUUCCGAAAUGUGGGCGUGAGUAUUUCCGAGGAGACAUUUGAGGAGGCGUGGAAGCUGGCAUCCAUGAGACACCCCACUGGGGACGUGCGUGUGGAGAUUUUCCGGGACGUUCUAAAGGAAAUUCAAGCUAAUUCAAUCUGAACAGUAUCUUUUACCUCCUCAGUAUCUAUUCCGUGAAAGAAUGUACUUCAAGUAUUACAUAUACAACACAAGUGUUAUACUUCUUUUUUUUC